CUGAUAGGAAGGCAGACCACACUUGCUCAUGUGCUCACAAGUUCCCUCAGCUGGAACAUUAGUUCACAGAACUAUUGCGGAGAAGACAUGAGGAUCUGAAGCUGCUAGACACUUAUCCCUACUAGCUGAAUGCAAUUGUGCUGGACCUUUUAGAAGAAUUAAACCAACUGAAAAUCAUCUAAGAGUGACAAUGUAAGUCUUUAACUUUCUUGUCCCAAAGUUACAAAGAUUUCUUCAUGGUCCUUUUGGCUCCAAUGAUAUGAUGAAGUCUUGAAUAGCCGAAGAGUGAAUUUGUUAUGGAGCAUUGACUGUGAAAACUGCAAGCAAAUGGCAAAAAAAUCCAUUAACAGCCUGACUUCCCAAAGUGCUUGGACUUUAGAAGACCCAGCUGUAAGAAAGCAAUACCCUAAGCACAUGGUGAAGUCAGUUGGUGAUAAUCACAUAAACUUACCUCCUUCUUUAACCGUAUAUAUAUUUAAAGGCAGCAAGGAUGCAACCAGCGUUCACCUCAGUCCUCCAGAAGAAAAGCAGGGGAGCAGAUUGGGCCAGAGGAAGUAAAUUAGCUAGAACAAAGAAAGGCCAGGUGGUUCCUCUUAUUCUCACUCAUGCUGGCUGAGUAGGUUUGUCAUUUCCUGAGAUAGAAUUCAGCCCAUGAUUUCUAAGAAAUCAUGGGGGGUUGUAACUUCAUCAAGCUUAUCUUGU